UCCGCAGGGGGCUAGCGUUGUUCGGAUUUACUGGGCGUAAAGCGCACGUAGGCGGCUCGCUCAGUCAGGGGUGAAAUCCCAGGGCUCAACCCUGGAACUGCCUUUGAUACUGUCGAUCUGGAGUAUGGAAGAGGUGAGUGGAAUUCCGAGUGUAGAGGUGAAAUUCGUAGAUAUUCGGAGGAACACCAGUGGCGAAGGCGGCUCACUGGUCCAUUACUGACGCUGAGGUGCGAAAGCGUGGGGAGCAAACAGG
rnacentral:rRNA from 1 species